CUUUUGCAUAUACAUAUCCAUUCAUUUUUAGCACCAUUUGUUGAAUGGUUCACCUUUGUUGAAAAUCAUUUGACCAUAUGUCUUUAUGAGUUUAUUUCUGGACUCUCAAUUCUGUUCCAUUGAUUUACGUAUUUAGCCUUAAUGCCAGAAGCACAGGUAGUUACUGUAGUUUUAUAGUUAGUUUUGGGAUCAAGAACUAGGAGUCCUCCAAUUAUGUUCUUUUUCAAGAUUGUUUUGGUUAUUCUGGGUCCUGUACAUUUUCAAAUGUACAGUUCUUUCACUUUGUUGUUUAAAUUUAUUCCUAGGUAUUUUAGUUUUUGAUACAAUUUUCAAUGAAACAUUUUCUUAAUUUCUUUUUUUUUGAGAGCUAAUUAUUUGUGUAUAGAAAUGAAGCUGAUUUCUAUAUAUUGAUUUUGCAUCCUGCAGCUUUACUGAAUUUGUUGAUGGGUUCACACAUGUUUUUGGUGGGAUCUUUUAAGGUUUUGUGUACUAAGAGCAAGUUGUCCGCAAGUACAGUUGUGCGUCCUCCUUUCUCACUUGCAUCCCUUCCACUUCUUUUUCUUGCCUAAUUGUUUUGGCUAGAACUUUCAGUGCUUUGUUGAAUAAAAGUGGUAGAAGUAGACAACCUUGUCUUAUUCCUUAUCUUGGAGGAAAAGAUUCAGCUUUUCACCGCUGAGUGAGGUGUUAGCUGUGGGCUUGCACUUUGUGGCCUUCACUGUGCUAAGGUAUAUCCUCUUUGUACCCACUUUGCUUGGGGUCCUGUGUUUGCCAUCUUACUGAACUUACUAGUGUGGGUAGGUUUUUGGUGUAAAUUUUUAAGGGUUUUCUGUAUGUAGGUUUGUGUCAUCUGCAAAUAAAGAUUGUCAUCCUUAUUUUCCACUCUGAAUGUCUUUCAUGUCUUCUUUUUUUUAACCUAAUUGCUCUUCUGCUAUCUUUUGCAGUCAUAAUUUCUGAUUCAAGUUUCCUAGCUCAUUUUUUCUUCCUUUCCUUGAUUAAGAACUUUUUUUGUUUCAGAGAUCUAGAUAUUUCUAGCAGUAAUAUUCAUUAUGAAUUGGAUAAAAGGCUUAGUUUGUGUUUAUGUUUUAAUCCAAGGGAGUAUAGUCUUGAAAUGCUCUGUGUUCUACAACUGGUCCAUGGGAUUGUGUUCCUUCAGUCCUCAGUAUGCUUUCCAGCAGUGUGUGCUAACUUUCCAUGAACUUGGAGCUGAUAAACUGCAGAGAACAAGUUGUUCUAGAAGUCUAGUCAAUCUGAAAAGGCUGUAUUCUGUAUGAUCCCAAUUAUGUGACUUUCUGGUAGAGAUAAACAAUGAAAAGAAUGUGGUUGCCCAGGUUUCGGGGAGGGAUGGGGGAGGAAGAGGGAUGACUGGUGGAGAUCUUAGGACAGUGACACUGUUCCUAAUGGUGGAGACAUGUCCCAGCCCACAGAGUGUACAGCAUGGAGAGUGAGCCCUCAUAGUAAUUAUGAACUUGAGUUAGUAAUAAUUAGGUUUGUUUCAUCAGUUGUAGCAAAAGUACCACAGUAACUAAGGCUUGAUGCUAGUAAUAGGAGAAGCAGCAAGGGGCGGGGGUACACAGAUAUUCUCUGUACAUAAAAAUGUCCUAAAAUUAGAGGAGAGGAAAAAACGAGUUUAUUAGAGUAAGCAAUAACUUUAAAAUAGCAGUUUUUUUUGAGAUCCUUGUUGUAUAAGUAAGAUUGAAGUCCAGGAGGGCUGAUGCUUGGCAGGUGACAUCAGCAGUGGUAGGGACAAGUGCUCUUUAUGGGUCUGUUAGUAUUGUGUGAAGGUGUGGAUUUUCCAAACACAGAGAGGAGUGGGUCUGUGUCCUUGGCCACCCCGGCAGUUCCUCAGCAGGGAGGCAGUCAAGUUCCUGCAGCCAGGCACCGGUGAGGGGUCCUCCACACCCCCAUCUGUGUGUCCCCUCGUGCCCAAGUCAAGAGCUCCAGUAAGAAGUGGCCACUUGGGUAGCAGGAUGCAGAGGACAGUGUGAGGUUGUCACUGAAACUGGAGCUAAUAGGGUUCUGGCAUUGGGAAGUGGCCAGACAGCGAGAAAGCCUGAACGCAGUGCUUUAUAUUCCUUUGCGUUGGGUGACAGCCUGGACGGUUUCCAGAAAAACUUUAACCUGAGUGGGCAGUGGUGUGAACUGGCAGCUCUCAGGAUGAAGGACCACUUACAGAAAUCUUGUUUCCUAUGAUCUGGUGGAGAUUACAGUGCCUGGCAGGACCACACUGACUGGAGAAGAUGCAAGGCCCGCAGUGAGAAAGCAGCUUGACACAACCCGUCCUCAUGCGUCACUCUUCAGGAAUGCCCUUCUGCUCUUCACACGCAUGGAGGCCAUCUAGGCCAUCUGGGAGCAAAAAUUCGUGUACUUGACCAGAGGAGGCAGGUUUCUCAGCGAAAUAGGGCAUUUGUUUAUUUGUUCUGCUGUGGGCUUAGUUAAAUAAAUGCUGAAAAUGCGCAAGCAGCAUACUUGUUUGGAAUCGGGAACUUGGCAGUUGUGACGGUGUGCAGACAUGUUGAACUGAGGUUGUCAUGUUGCGCGGUAGGAAUCAGUGAAGGGAGCCCAAACUGGGUGGAGCGAGUGUGUGUGAGAAGCAGGCUGCUCCUGAAAGACUAGGGAGAGGCCAGAUUCAUGUCCUGACAGCGUUCAGGUGUGUUUCUGUUUUGAGUCUGAAGGAGCACUAGUACUAGUCGGGCACUAGGAGCCUGCUCCCCUCCCCUCCAGCUCUGAGGUGGCUGAUGAGAGAUCCGAGGUGGCUUUGGCAGGGAAGCAGGGGGAACAUGGAGGAGGAAGCCAACCUUCCCCAAGGUGGACCAGGUCCCGUGGACUCAUCCUUGCCCCAAAGUGUCUGAUUGACUAUCUAGGGUGGUGGUACAGCUGGAGAUAGGUCUUGCUGAGCAGAAGCCCACCUGUGGCCCCCACCCACUACCACGGACACUCUCUUCACAUACCCUUUGCCCACACCGAGGUUGUGAUAGCAAGCCAGCUGACUGUUCUGUCUGGUUGGAUGUCCAGGUGAUGUUCUUAAGGGGCAUUGACAUGUGAUCGGUGGUCUUCAUGCUUUGUGCCAACUUCCAGAGGACCAUCUGCUUGCCUCUCCGACCCCUGUGCCUGUGACCUCCCAGCUACACUCCUGCCAGGCUCGUUGCUGACCAGCGGAACCCUUUGUCACUUCCCAUAAUCUUUUUCCACAAAUGAUUCUGGAACCAUUGGGAUCACUAUGCAAAACUAAACCCAUAGCUCACACCACAUAAAAAAGUUAAUUCAGAAUGGAUUAUUGAAAUGUAAAGCGUUUACGUUUUCUUUAAACUUUUAGAGGAAAAAGUAGAAAAAUGUUAACCUUGGGGCAGCUCAGCAAAGAUUUCUUAGAUAACAAACCACAACAGGAUUUGCAGAACAAAAUUUCAAAACCUGAACUUCACUAAAAUGAGUAACUUGUGCUCUUUGAAGACUGUUAGAGAAGAAAACGACCAGCCAUGACUGGAAGAAAACAUUGUGACUCACAUGUAAUUGUCUCCCGAACACAUCUAUGUCCCCAUCCUGCAAAUCUGUGAAAAUGUUACAUCAUAAGGCAGAAGGGGGUCAGGUUGCAGACAGGAUCAAGGUUGCUCAUCAACUGACCUUGAGAAGAGGCUGUCUGUGUGAGCCUGGAGUGAUCACAGGGACACUUGACCAUGGACAAGGGUCAGGGUCAGGGUGGUGUGAUGGGCGAAGCUGGCUGUGAGGAUGGAACUGGCCCCCAAGGCAAGGAGGGCGAGCAGCCUCUAGAAGUUGGAGAAAGGAAGAGGACAUGCACUUCAAGCCUGCAGGGAACCACAACUUCAUCUUAGCCAAACAGUGAGACGUUUCAGGCUUCUAACCUGCAGAACUGAAAGGUAUGCACUCAAAAGACAGUGACAAGCAUAUGUCCAUGCGAAGAAAUGAAUACUCAGAAUAUUUGCAAUAGUCAGAACGUAUCAUGUAAUAUUCAAAUGUCUAUCAUCAAGUGAAUGGAUAAACUGUGAUAUAUCCAUAAAUAGAGUGCUAUUCAGCAAUAAAAUGAAAUUUCAAAAUAAGUGGAAGAUGACAAAGAGUUCGUACUAUGUGAUUUUAUUUUAUGAGGUUCUAGAAAAUGUAGUAAUCCAUCACGCCUACAGCUUGAUGGUUGCCUCGUAACAGGACGUUGGGAGGGGAGAAGUCAUAAAUGAGUGUGAAAGAACUUGGGGAUAAUGGAUAAUAAUGUCUUGAUUAUGGGGGUGGUUUCAUUUACAUAAACGUGAAAUUUAUCAAAUUGUGCAGUUUAAACAUAUCCUGUUUAAUUGUAUUCUACCUCAAUAAAGCUGUUAAAAAAUAAGGAUACAGAAAGAUUGAAAAUAAAAGGAUGGAGGAAGGUAACAAUACAAACACUAGAGAUAGACAACUUGCUGAAGAUAAAGCAGGCUGGUCACUAGGAAACAUCUGCAUCCUAUGUUCAUACCCAUGAAACAUAGCCUUGAAAUAGGCACAGGAAAAAUUGAUAGGAAAUUAGAGAUCUUUCAGAAAACAACACACGCACACCAACAUACAUCUCUUUGUGUAAGAUAUAGCACAGGCCAUUAAGUUUAUGGAAGAUCUGAGCAUGAUUAGCAGACUUGAACUGAAGGCCGAAUGUAGAAAAAUGCACCCGCCAAUUGCAGAGGGAACACUCCUUGGAAGCACGUCUUUGCCAUUGAGUGUGCUCUCCGAGCAUUGAGGAAAUCAAAAUGACCAUCAGAAGGUGAUGAGAUUAGACACUAGGAAUUCUGUGUCAGUAACCAAUGGGUCAGUGGAAAAGUCACAGUGGAAACUGGAAAUGUCUUAAAUUGAGUGAUGACAAAAAUACUACAUGCUAAAACCUGAGAUGAAGCAAAAAUAUUGUGUAGCAGAAAGUGUAUAAACACAAAACAUACAUAUUUAAGAUUGUGAAAGGCUGAAAGUUGAUCAUCUAAACAUUCAUCUCAAGAGGUCAUAGAAAGCAAAAUUAAACUUAAGGAAAGUAGAUGGGAGGAAAUAAUAGAGAUCAAUAAGAAAUGUAUGAUAGAACCAAGAUACCAUUAAGAAAAGGAAAAAACCAUCAUCAGAAAGUCUAGAAAUAAUAAAAGCUGGAUGUGGAGAAAAGGGUACCCUCCUGCACUGUUUGUGGGAAUGUAAAUUGUACAGCCACUAUGGAAAACUUCAUGAAGUUUCCUUAAAAAGCCAGAAAUAGAAUGACCGUCUGAUCCAGCAGUCUCACUCCUGGGCAUACAUUCUGGAAAAGACAAAAAUGGCCAAUGUUCAUAGCAGCACUGUAGCCAAGACAUGGAAGCAACGUGUCUGUUGACAGAUGAAUGGAUGAAGAAAUGUGGCAUAUAAAUAGAAUAUAACUGAGUCUUAAAAAAAUAAUGAAUUAUUGCCAUUUGCAGCAACAUGGAGGAACCUAGAGAUUGUCAUACCAAAUGAAAUAAGAGAAGGCAUGAUACCACUUCUAUGUGGAAUCUAAAAAAAUAAUGCAGAUGAAUUUAUUUACAAAACAGACUCAUGCAGAAAACAAAUUGGUUACCAAAAGGGAAGGCAGGGAAGGGAUAAAUUAGUUUGAGAUUAACACAUACACA
ensembl:lncRNA